CUCAGAUUGAACGCUGCGGCAUGCUUAACACAUGCAAGUCGAACGGCAGCACAGUGGAGCUUGCUCCAUGGGUGCGAGUGGCGGACGGGUGAGUAAGGCAUCGGGACCUACCCAGACGUGGGGGAUAACGUAGGGAAACUUACGCUAAUACCGCAUACGUCCUACGGGAGAAAGCGGGGGAUCUUCGGACCUCGCGCGGUUGGAUGGACCGAUGUGCGAUUAGCUAGUUGGUGGGGUAACGGCUCACCAAGGCGACGAUCGCUAGCUGGUCUGAGAGGAUGAUCAGCCACACUGGGACUGAGACACGGCCCAGACUCCUACGGGAGGCAGCAGUGGGGAAUAUUGGACAAUGGGCGCAAGCCUGAUCCAGCAAUGCCGCGUGUGUGAAGAAGGCCUUCGGGUUGUAAAGCACUUUUAUCAGGAGCGAAAUCUGCAGGGCUAAUACCCAUGCAGUCUGACGGUACCUGAGGAAUAAGCACCGG
rnacentral:rRNA from 1 species